CCCGAAUUAUGUGGGAGCUGCG
rnacentral:miRNA from 1 species